rnacentral:lncRNA from 12 species
CUGUCUAGACAAGAGCGCAGGUUUUCAAUCGCCAGCUCCGAGGGGGAGUGAGAGAAGCCGAGCGGCCAGCAGGAGGGCUGGGCUGGGCUGGGCCGUGCUGGGUGUCUGUGAGCCUGGGCUGCCCUGGCUCCCCGGCAUUUCCUCGGGAAAGCCUCUGCAGGGAGGCGGCACAUCCCGGCAGGUGCUGGGCUCUGCAGGGAUGCAGCUCCGCUCUGUGCAUUCCCUGCAGCUCGGGUCCGUCCCAUCCAUGCAGCACAUCCCUUGCACGUUCCCAGCACUGCCCUGGGCAGUGCUCGCUCUGGCACGGGGGCUCAAGGCACCCUGAGCUUUCAGCUGUGCCCGGGCACCCAUUCCC